rnacentral:rRNA from 2 species
UACGUAGGGUGCGAGCGUUAAUCGGAAUUACUGGGCGUAAAGCGUGCGCAGGCGGUUUUGUAAGUCAGAUGUGAAAUCCCCGAGCUCAACUUGGGAACUGCGUUUGAAACUACAAGACUAGAAUAGGUCAGAGGGGGGUAGAAUUCCACGUGUAGCAGUGAAAUGCGUAGAGAUGUGGAGGAAUAUCAAUGGCGAAGGCAGCCCCCUGGGAUCAUAUUGACGCUCAUGCACGAAAGCGUGGGGAGCAAACAGG